rnacentral:rRNA from 1 species
UAAGGGCGCACGGUGGAUGCCUUGGCACUAGAAGCCGAUGAAGGACGUUACUAACGACGAUAUGCUUUGGGGAGCUGUAAGUAAGCUUUGAUCCAGAGAUUUCCGAAUGGGGAAACCCAGCAUGAGUUAUGUCAUGUUAUCGAUAUGUGAAUACAUAGCAUAUCAGAAGGCACACCCGGAGAACUGAAACAUCUUAGUACCCGGAGGAAGAGAAAGAAAAUUCGAUUCCCUUAGUAGCGGCGAGCGAAACGGGAAGAGCCCAAACCAACAAGCUUGCUUGUUGGGGUUGUAGGACACUCUAUACGGAGUUACAAAGGACGACAUUAGACGAAUCAUCUGGAAAGAUGAAUCAAAGAAGGUAAUAAUCCUGUAGUCGAAAAUGUUGUCUCUCUUGAGUGGAUCCUGAGUACGACGGAGCACGUGAAAUUCCGUCGGAAUCUGGGAGGACCAUCUCCUAAGGCUAAAUACUCUCUAGUGACCGAUAGUGAACCAGUACCGUGAGGGAAAGGUGAAAAGCACCCCGGAAGGGGAGUGAAAUAGAACCUGAAACCGUGUGCUUACAAGUAGUCAGAGCCCGUUAAUGGGUGAUGGCGUGCCUUUUGUAGAAUGAACCGGCGAGUUACGAUUUGAUGCAAGGUUAAGCAGUAAAUGUGGAGCCGUAGCGAAAGCGAGUCUGAAUAGGGCGUUUAGUAUUUGGUCGUAGACCCGAAACCAGGUGAUCUACCCUUGGUCAGGUUGAAGUUCAGGUAACACUGAAUGGAGGACCGAACCGACUUACGUUGAAAAGUGAGCGGAUGAACUGAGGGUA